ACGAGUGGCGGACGGGUGAGUAAUACAUAGGAAUCUGCCCAGUAGCGGGGGACAACUCGGGGAAACUCGAGCUAAUACCGCAUACGCCCUACGGGGAAAGCAGGGGAUCUUCGGACCUUGCACUAUUGGAUGAGCCUAUGUCGGAUUAGCUUGUUGGUGAGGUAAAGGCUCACCAAGGCAACGAUCUGUAGCUGGUCUGAGAGGACGAUCAGCCACACUGGGACUGAGACACGGCCCAGACUCCUACGGGAGGCAGCAGUGGGGAAUAUUGGACAAUGGGGGCAACCCUGAUCCAGCAAUGCCGCGUGUGUGAAGAAGGCCUGCGGGUUGUAAAGCACUUUCAAUCGUGAAGAAAAAACGUAUGGAUAAUACCCGUACGUCUUGACGUUAACGAUACAAGAAGCACCGGCUAACUCCGUGCCAGCAGCCGCGGUAAUACGGAGGGUGCGAGCGUUAAUCGGAAUUACUGGGCGUAAAGAGCACGUAGGCGGCUUGGCAGUCGGAUGUGAAAGCCCCGGGCUUAACCUGGGAAUUGCACUCGAUACUACCAAGCUAGAGUUUAGUAGAGGAAUGCGGAAUUCCGGGUGUAGCGGUGAAAUGCGUAGAUAUCCGGAGAACAUCAGUGGCGAAGGGGCAUUCUGGGCUAAAACUGACGCUGAGGUGCGAAAGGUGGGGAGCAAACAGGAUUAGAUACCCUGGUAGUCCACGCCGUAAACGAUGUCAACUAGCCGUUGGGAUUUUUCUUAGUGGCGCAGUAACGCGAUAAGUUGACCGCCUGGGGAGUACGCCGGCAACGUAAAACUCAAAGGAAUUGACGGGGG
rnacentral:rRNA from 1 species